rnacentral:tRNA from 1 species
AUAUCUAUAGCCUAAUGGUUAGGCACCAAACUCAUAAUUUGUUUUAUAUUGGUUCAAUUCCAAUUAGAUAUA